rnacentral:rRNA from 1 species
GACGAACGCUGGCGGCGUGCUUAACACAUGCAAGUCGAACGGAAAGGCCCUGCUUUUGUGGGGUGCUCGAGUGGCGAACGGGUGAGUAACACGUGAGUAACCUGCCCUUGACUUUGGGAUAACUUCAGGAAACUGGGGCUAAUACCGGAUAGGAGCUCCUGCUGCAUGGUGGGGGUUGGAAAGUUUCGGCGGUUGGGGAUGGACUCGCGGCUUAUCAGCUUGUUGGUGGGGUAGUGGCUUACCAAGGCUUUGACGGGUAGCCGGCCUGAGAGGGUGACCGGCCACAUUGGGACUGAGGUACGGCCCAGACUGCAACGGGAGGCAGCAGUGGAGAAUAUUGCACAAUGGGCGGAAGCCUGAUGCAGCAGCGCCGCGUGCGGGAUGACGGCCUACGGGUUGUAAACCGCUUUCGCCUGAGACGAAGCGUGAGUGACGGUAAUGGGUAAAGAAGCACCGGCUAACUACGUG